UACGUAGGGGGCAAGCGUUGUCCGGAAUUAUUGGGCGUAAAGCGCGCGCAGGCGGUCCUUUAAGUCUGAUGUGAAAGCCCACGGCUCAACCGUGGAGGGUCAUUGGAAACUGGGGGACUUGAGUGCAGGAGAGAAGAGUGGAAUUCCACGUGUAGCGGUGAAAUGCGUAGAUAUCAGGAGGAACACCUGUGGCGAAAGCGGCUCACUGGACCAUAACUGACGCUGAUGCACGAAAGCUAGGGGAGCAAACAGG
rnacentral:rRNA from 1 species